UCAUUUGUAGGUUGUCCUGUGGAAA
rnacentral:miRNA from 1 species